rnacentral:rRNA from 1 species
AUUGAACGCUGGCGGCAGGCCUAACACAUGCAAGUCGAGCGGAGCGGCGGAAGGGGGAGUAAUGCCUGGGAAUCUGCCUGGUAGUAAGGGAUCACGUCCGGAAACGGGCGCUAAUACCGCAUACUAUCAGAUCAGCCUAGGGCGGCUUAGCUAGUUGGUGGGGUAAAGGCCAACCAAGGCGACGAGCCGUCACUGGCCUGAGAGGAUGAUCAGUCACACUGGAACUGAGACACGGGCCAGACUCCUACGGGAGGCAGCAGUGGGGAAUCUUGGACAAUGGGCGAAAGCCUGAUCCAGCCAUGCCGCGUGUGUGAAGAAGGUCUUCGGAUUGUAAAGCACUGUAAGUUGGGAGGCGGUACCAACAGAAUAAGCAACGGCUAACUUCGUGCCAGCAGCCGCGGUAAUAC